AUUGAACGCUGGCGGAAUGCCCUACACAUGCAAGUCGAACGGCAGCACGGACCUCGGUCUGGUGGCGAGUGGCGAACGGGUGAGUAAUGUAUCGGAACGUGCCCAGUCGCGGGGGAUAACGUAGUGAAAAUUACGCUAAUACCGCAUACGAUCUAUGGAUGAAAGCGGGGGAUCGCAAGACCUCGCGCGAUUGGAGCGGCCGAUAUCAGAUUAGGUAGUUGGUGGGGUAAAGGCCCACCAAGCCAACGAUCUGUAGCUGGUCUGAGAGGACGACCAGCCACACUGGAACUGAGACACGGUCCAGACUCCUACGGGAGGCAGCAGUGGGGAAUUUUGGACAAUGGGCGAAAGCCUGAUCCAGCCAUUCCGCGUGCAGGAUGAAGGCCCUCGGGUUGUAAACUGCUUUUGUACAGAACGAAAAGGUUUCUACUAAUACUAGGAGCUCAUGACGGUACUGUAAGAAUAAGCACCGGCUAACUACGUGCCAGCAGCCGCCGUAA
rnacentral:rRNA from 1 species